CUCCGAUGAUGACUUCAACUUUGUGCCAAGUGUCUGGGCCACUGAGAACAGUGAUGGAUAUGAGGAACUGAGGAG